AUGCACUUCCAUGUUUAUUAUAACACUAUUCACAAUAGUCAAAAUAUGGAAUCAACCUAAGUGCCCAUCAAUGAACAAAUGGAUGAAGAAAAUGUGGUAUAUACACAAUGGAAUACUAUUCAGUUAAAAAGAAUGAGAUCCCAUCAUUUAUUUAUUUAUUUAUUGGACAGGGUCUCACUCUGUCGCCCAGGCUGGAGUGCAGUGGUACAAUCUCGGCUCACUGCAACCUCUGCCUCCUUGGCUCAAGCAAUCCUCCCACCUCAGCCUCCCAAGUAGCUGGGACCAGAGACAUGAGUCACCACACCCAACUAAUUUUUGUAUUUUUUUAGUGACAGGUUUUCACCAUGUUUCCCACGCUGCUCUCAAACUCCUGGACUCAAGCAAUCCGUCUGCUUCGGCUUCCCAAAGUGCUGGGAUUACAGGUGUGAGCCACCGCACAUAGCCAAGAUCCUGUCAUUUAAAGAAACAUGGAUGAAACUGGAGGUCAUUAUGGCUAGCCAAGUAAAGCAGUGGGAGUGGAAAAGGAACAAAGAAAUCUAUAACUGCUUGUGAUCAAUUAGUUGUAAACACCGCUGCACGCACACCAGCCUGUGAUACUUGAUAUUUUUGAUGUCUCUUACAGAUCUUUAUAUAGAUCCUUCUCCUUCAAAAUUGUUGAAACCAUAAAAAGCAUCAGAAUGGAUUGUGGUCAACCAAACUCUCUCCAGUGGGAAGUGAAUUAACUCAGAGCAUCAAUCUAAUUAGAAAAGCCAUAGCAAUGGUCCUCAAGAGAGGAAGACCUGGAACAAAAUCACCCAGGGAACUACACACAUUGCUUCUCCCCUUCUCCCUACCCUCCAGGGUCUGAUGGGGGUGAGCAUGGCCCAGGGGAAAUGGGCACCAGUGGUUUUGACAUGUUUCCCAGGCAACGCAGAGAGGCAGCUCUCCCUCACCCAACUGGGAAUCACUGGGCAAGAGACAUACCCAGUGUUACUUAUGAAAGUUUAAGAUACAUACUCUUGAUUUUACUAGUAGAAAUUUAUUAUGCAGAAACACUUAUACAUUCAUUCAAAGAUAAAUGUGCAAGAAUGGGAAUUACAGCACUCUGUAAUAGUAAUGUUAAUAAUAAUAAUAAUAACCUUGAUGUACAUUAGUAGUGGACUGGUUAAAUUUAUGGUUUAGCCAUACUGUGGAAUUCUGUGCCUUGGUUAGAAAAAAUGAGGUCGGCCAGGCACGGUGGCUCACACCUGUAAUCCUAGGACUUUGGGGGGCCUAGGUGGGCGGAUCACUUGAGGUCAGGAGUUCAAGACCACCCUGGCCAACAUGGUGAAACCCCCAUCUCUACUAAAAAUACAAAAAUUAGCCGGGCAUGGUGGUGCACACUUGUGAUCCCAGCUAUUCAGGAGGCUGAG
rnacentral:lncRNA from 1 species